AUGUGGCAGAAUCUUGGACUUUAUUACCACAUCACCUUCUUGGCGGGACUAGGCUAAAUAAUUUCUGUUGGCACUACCAGUUUUUAAAUCUUCUGUAGGAAGUGGUAGAGCCUGGGGACCAGUCUCUGGGCUUGGAUUGCACACAGGCUGAGGCGAGAUGGAGUAUUGGCCAUAAAUGCAAACAAAUAAAUUCCUAUUACUAUAAAAGUGUGGGCCAACCCUUAAUCAGUGACAUUACUAAGAACUGUGAAAUGGUUAUACAUUUGACCCUUCAACAGCAUGGGUUUGAACUUUGUGGAUCCACUUAAUCUUGGAUUUUCUUCUGCCUCUGCUACCCCAAGACAGCAAGACCAACUCCUCUUGUUCCUCCUCCUCUACCUAUCCAACGUGAAGAUGAUGAGGAUUAAGAACUUUAUGACAAUCUACUUGCACUUAAUAAAUAAGAGAUGGGGUCUUGCUCUACCACCCAGGCUGGUCUUGAACUUUUGGCCUCAAGUGAUCCUCCUACCUUGGCUUCCCAAAAAUGCUGAGAUUACAGGUGUGAGCCACCAUGACUGGCCUAGACUGUGACAUUUUUGUUCAUUAUUAUUUAUAGUGUCCGUAGUGAGAACAUCUUAUUCUUUAGUAUGUUUUUGUAUUAAAGUUGUCGUUUUACCAAUGAAGAAAUAGCCUUGACAUGUUCCCUAGCUGCCCUCCAUAUUUAAGGGCAUAUUCUAAUUAAAUAAUCUUUAUGUUUAAU